CCUACGGGCGGCUGCAGUGGGGAAUAUUGGACAAUGGGGGGAACCCUGAUCCAGCCAUGCCGCGUGUGUGAAGAAGGCCCUCGGGUUGUAAAGCACUUUCAGUGAGGAAGAACGCCUGGUGGUUAAUACCCAUCAGGAAAGACAUCACUCACAGAAGAAGCACCGGCUAACUCCGUGCCAGCAGCCGCGGUAAUACGGAGGGUGCGAACGUUAAUCGGAAUUACUGGGCGUAAAGCGCGCGUAGGUGGCUUGAUAAGCCGGUUGUGAAAGCCCCGGGCUCAACCUGGGAACGGCAUCCGGAACUGUCAAGCUAGAGUGCAGGAGAGGAAGGUAGAAUUCCCGGUGUAGCGGUGAAAUGCGUAGAGAUCGGGAGGAAUACCAGUGGCGAAGGCGGCCUUCUGGACUGACACUGACACUGAGGUGCGAAAGCGUGGGUAGCAAACAGGAUUAGAUACCCGUGUAGUC
rnacentral:rRNA from 1 species